rnacentral:rRNA from 1 species
UACGUAGGGGGCGAGCGUUGUCCGAUUUGAUGGCGUAAAGAGCGUGUAGGCGGCCAGGUAGGUCUGCUGUGAAAACUCGAGGCUCAACCUCGAGACGUCGGCGGAAACCAUCUGGCUAGAGUCCGGAAGAGGAGAGUGGAAUUCCUGGUGUAGCGGUGAAAUGCGCAGAUAUCAGGAGGAACACCGGUGGCGAAGGCGGGUCUCUGGGCCGAUACUGACGCUGAGGAGCGAAAGCGUGGGGAGCGAACAGG